UGGCCUUGCGCCGGCGAUGGUUCAUUCAAAUUUCUGCCCUAUCAACUUUCGAUGGUAGGAUAGUGGCCUACCAUGGUGGCAACGGGUAACGGGGAAUUAGGGUUCGAUUCCGGAGAGGGAGCCUGAGAAACGGCUACCACAUCCAAGGAAGGCAGCAGGCGCGCAAAUUACCCAAUCCCGACACGGGGAGGUAGUGACAAUAAAUACUGAUACGGGGCUCUUUUGGGUCUCGUAAUUGGAAUGAGUACAAUCUAAAUCCCUUAACGAGGAACAAUUGGAGGGCAAGUCUGGUGCCAGCAGCCGCGGUAAUUCCAGCUCCAAUAGCGUAUAUUAAAGUUGUUGCAGUUAAAAAGCUCGUAGUUGAACCUUGGGUCUGGCUGGCCGGUCCGCCUCACCGCGAGUACUGGUCCGGCUGGACCUUUCCUUCUGGGGAACCUCAUGGCCUUCACUGGCUGUGGGGGGAACCAGGACUUUUACUGUGAAAAAAUUAGAGUGUUCAAAGCAGGCCUUUGCUCGAAUACAUUAGCAUGGAAUAAUAGAAUAGGACGUGCGGUUCUAUUUUGUUGGUUUCUAGGACCGCCGUAAUGAUUAAUAGGGAUAGUCGGGGGCGUCAGUAUUCAGCUGUCAGAGGUGAAAUUCUUGGAUUUGCUGAAGACUAACUACUGCGAAAGCAUUCGCCAAGGAUGUUUUCAUUAAUCAGGGAACGAAAGUUAGGGGAUCGAAGACGAUCAGAUACCGUCGUAGUCUUAACCAUAAACUAUGCCGACUAGGGAUCGGGCGGUGUUUCUAUAAUGACCCGCUCGGCACCUUACGAGAAAUCAAAGUUUUUGGGUUCUGGGGGGAGUAUGGU
rnacentral:rRNA from 1 species